CAGCCAUCCCAUUACUGGGUAUAUACCCAAAGGUUCAUAAAUCAUGCUGCUAUAAAGACACAUGCACGUGUAUGUUUAUUGUGGCACUAUUCACAAUAGCAAAGGCUUGGUACCAACCCAAAUGUCCAAGAAUGAUAGACUGGAUUAAGAAAAUGUGGCACAUAUACACCAUGGAAUACUAUGCAGCCAUAAAAAAGGAUGAGUUCAUGUCCUUUGUAGGGACAUGGAUGAAGCUGGAAACCAUCAUUCUCAGGAAACUAUUGCAGGGACAGGAAACCAAACACCGCAUGUUCUCACUCAUAUGUGGGAAUUGAACAAUCAGAACACUUGGACACAGGGUGGGGAACGUCACACACCGAGGCCUGUCGUGGGGUGGCGGCAGGGGGGAGAGAUAGCAUUAGGAGAUAUACCUAAUGUAAAUGAUGAGUUAAUGGGUUCAGCAUACCAACGUGGCACAUGUAUACAUAUGUAACAAACCUGUACGUUGUGCACAUGUACCCUGGAAGUUAAAGUAUAAAAAGAAAAAAAAAGAUGUCUGGAUAGUUACAUGACAUUAGCCAUGUAUAUAUGCUGGCAACAUGAUAUCCAAAAAAGAAAGGGUAGACUAUUUGAUCAUAUGCUUCACAAUAGAAGAUAUAGUAAUGCUCAAUAAGCAUAUUAAAAAAUGUUCAACAUCCUUAGUCAUCAGGAAAAUGUAAAUUUAAACUACAAUAAGAUGCCACUACACACACAUUACAGCGGAUAACAUUUAUUAUUAUUACUUUACUUUUUUAUACAAGGUAUUUCUCUGUUGUGCAGGCUGGAGUGCAGUGGUGCAAUUAUGGCUCAAUGUAGCCUCCACCUCCUGGGAUGAAGCAUCUUCCUAUCUUACCUCCUGAGUAGCUAGGACUACAGAUGGAGAAGCUGUGGUUUGAGAUCAUCCAGCUGCUGAGUGGAGAGACCAGAUGCAAACCCAGGCAGUCUGGCUCCAACGCCUGCAAAGGUUUCCAUUCUACCCUCUCUCAGUAAAGGGAGAUGACUACAGAGAAUAGGCCUCUCUACAUUGCAUAGACGGGCGUGCAGUGGUAUCGAUAUGUGCAAUCCCACUACUGA
rnacentral:lncRNA from 1 species